UAGGUUUGUUGGUGAGCCGAGGGUAAAACCAACGUGUAAGGGUUCGAUUGUGAUCCCGGGAAAACAAUCGGGGUGGUUCUAGUCGGUGAGCCUGGGAAAACCGACCGAGUUCGUUGUGCGCUCGUAAAACAACAAGUUGGGUUGUGAGCUUGUAAAACAACCGGCUGUAAUCUGUAGGAUUAUAGUGAAAUUUCCAAGAGGUCUUGGGGAGUGGAUGUAGGUGCUGGGGUGCACCGAACCACUAUAUGCUUGUUGUGUUUGUAAUGCUUCUUGUCA
rnacentral:lncRNA from 1 species